AUACGUAGGGGGCGAGCGUUGUCCGGAAUGAUUGGGCGUAAAGGGCGCGUAGGCGGCUUUGCAAGUCAGUAGUGGAAGUCCAUUUUUCAAGGAUGGAAGUGCUACAGAAACUGCGGAGCUUGAGUGCAGGAGAGGUUAUCGGAAUUCCCGGUGUAGCGGUGAAGUGCGUAGAGAUCGGGAGGAACACCAGUGGCGAAGGCGGUUAACUGGACUGCAACUGACGCUGAGGCGCGAAAGUGUGGGGAGCAAACAGGAUUAGAUACCCUGGUAGUCCACACUGUAAACGAUGAAUGCUAGGUGUAGGAGGUAUCGACCCCUUCUGUGCCGCAGUAAACACAGUAAGCAUUCCGCCUGGGGAGUACGGUCGCAAGAUUAAAACUCAAAUGAAUUGACGGGG
rnacentral:rRNA from 1 species